UUUGUCCGACUGGUCGUUUGUCCGACUGGUCGUUUGUCCAAAAAUUUUUCGGACAAAUGACCAAUCGGACAAACGGCAAUCGGACAAACGG
rnacentral:pre_miRNA from 1 species